AUUGAAACACCUGCUCCUGUAUGACUACCAAAGUUAAGCAAUGUUGAGCCUGGUCAGUAUUUAGAUGAGUGACUGCUUGGGAGUACCAGCUGCUGUAA